UGGGAGAUAGCAUAGUGGUUAUGCAAAGGACUUCCAUUCCUUAGACUCUGUGGUCUCAGGUUCCCCAG
rnacentral:tRNA from 1 species